rnacentral:rRNA from 1 species
GUUUCAGCCGCCGCGGUAAGACGUAGGAGGCGAGCGUUGUCCGGAUUCAUUGGGCGUAAAGAGCGCGCAGGCGGUUCGGAAAGUCGGAUGUGAAAACCCGGAGCUCAACUCCGGGCCGGCAUCCGAUACUCCCGGACUAGAGGUAGGUAGGGGAGAUCGGAAUUCCUGGUGUAGCGGUGAAAUGCGCAGAUAUCAGGAGGAACACCGGUGGCGAAGGCGGAUCUCUGGGCCUUACCUGACGCUCAGGCGCGAAAGCUAGGGGAGCGAACAGGAUUAGAUACCCUCGUAGUCC